rnacentral:tRNA from 1 species
ACAUUUGUGGUUCAGUGGUAGAAUUCUCACCUUUUAUGCAGGAGAACUGGGUUCAUUUCCCAGCUAAUGUA